ensembl:miRNA
CAGUGUUGGGUCUCAGGAAGCAGUGCUCUCAGGACAUCUCCACCAUGGCCUGGGCUCUGCUCCUCCUCCCCCUCUUCACUCAGGACACAGGUGAU